rnacentral:rRNA from 1 species
GGGAAUCUUGCGCAAUGGGCGAAAGCCUGACGCAGCCAUGCCGCGUGGAUGAUGAAGGUCUUAGGAUUGUAAAAUCCUUUCAGCGGGGACGAUAAUGACGGUACCCGCAGAAGAAGCCCCGGCUAACUUCGUGCCAGCAGCCGCGGUAAUACGAAGGGGGCUAGCGUUGCUCGGAAUUACUGGGCGUAAAGGGCGCGUAGGCGGACAGUUAAGUCGGGGGUGAAAGCCCGGGGCUCAACCGCGGAAUUGCCUUCGAUACUGGCUGUCUUGAGUGUGAGAGAGGUGUGUGGAACUCCGAGUGUAGAGGUGAAAUUCGUAGAUAUUCGGAAGAACACCAGUGGCGAAGGCGACACACUGGCUCACUACUGACGCUGAGGCGCGAAAGCGUGGGGAGCAAAC